GUGGGGAAUAUUGCGCAAUGGGCGAAAGCCUGACGCAGCGACGCCGCGUGAAGGAAGAAGGCCCUCGGGUUGUAAACUUCUUUUAUCAAGGACGAAACAAAUGACGGUACUUGAUGAAUAAGCCACGGCUAACUACGUGCCAGCAGCCGCGGUAAUACGUAGGUGGCAAGCGUUAUCCGGAUUUACUGGGUGUAAAGGGCGUGUAGGCGGGACUGCAAGUCAGAUGUGAAAACCAUGGGCUCAACCCAUGGCCUGCAUUUGAAACUGUAGUUCUUGAGUGUUGGAGAGGCAGGCGGAAUUCCGUGUGUAGCGGUGAAAUGCGUAGAUAUACGGAGGAACACCAGUGGCGAAGGCGGCCUGCUGGACAAUAACUGACGCUGAGGCGCGAAAGCGUGGGGAGCAAACAGG
rnacentral:rRNA from 1 species